CCUACGGGUGGCUGCAGUGGGGAAUAUUGGGCAAUGGGCGCAAGCCUGACCCAGCAACGCCGCGUGAAGGAAGAAGGCUUUCGGGUUGUAAACUUCUUUUCUCAGGGACGAAGCAAGUGACGGUACCUGAGGAACAAGCCACGGCUAACUACGUGCCAGCAGCCGCGGUAAUACGUAGGUGGCAAGCGUUAUCCGGAUUUAUUGGGUGUAAAGGGCGUGUAGGCGGGGGCGCAAGUCAGAUGUGAAAACUAAGGGCUCAACCCUUAGCCUGCAUUUGAAACUGUGUUUCUUGAGUGCUGGAGAGGCAGACGGAAUUCCGGGUGUAGCGGUGAAAUGCGUAGAUAUAAGGAGGAACACCAGUGGCGAAGGCGGAUUGCUGGACAGCAACUGACGCUGAGGCGCGAAAGCGUGGGGAGCAAACAGGAUUAGAUACCCUUGUAGUC
rnacentral:rRNA from 1 species